CUGGCUCAGAUUGAACGCUGGCGGCGUGCCUAACACAUGCAAGUCGAACGCGAAAGUCUCUUCGGAGAUGAGUAGAGUGGCGCACGGGUGAGUAACGCGUGGAUAAUCUACCUAUUGGUACGGGACAACAGUUGGAAACGACUGCUAAUACCGUAUACGCUGGAAACGGGAAAGGGGGCCUCU
rnacentral:rRNA from 1 species